UACGUAGGCAGCGAGCGUUGUUCGGAGUUACUGGGCGUAAAGCGUGCGUAGGCGGUUUUGUAAGUUUGGUGUGAAAUCUCCCGGCUCAACUGGGAGGGUGCGCCGAAAACUGCAAGGCUGGAGUGUGGGAGAGGUAGGCGGAAUUCCUGGUGUAGCGGUGAAAUGCGUAGAUAUCAGGAGGAACACCGGUGGCGAAGGCGCACAUCUGGCCCGAUACUGACGCUGAGGCGCGAAAGCUAGGGGAGCAAACGGG
rnacentral:rRNA from 1 species